CGUAGGGUCCGAGCGUUGUCCGGAAUUAUUGGGCGUAAAGGGCUUGUAGGCGGUUCGUCACGUCGGAAGUGAAAACUCAGGGCUUAACCCUGAGCCUGCUUCCGAUACGGGCAAACUAGAGGAAUGCAGGGGAGAACGGAAUUCCUGGUGGAGCGGUGGAAUGCGCAGAUAUCAGGAGGAACACCGGUGGCGAAGGCGGUUCUCUGGGCAUUUCCUGACGCUGAGAAGCGAAAGCGUGGGGAGCAAACAGGCUUAGAUACCCUGGUAGUCCACGCCGUAAACGGUGGGCACUAGGUGUGGGGAACAUUCCACGUUCUCCGUGCCGAAGCUAACGCAUUAAGUGCCCCGCCUGGGGAGUACGGCCGCAAGGCUA
rnacentral:rRNA from 1 species